GGACCACGAGCCAGGAACAGAUUUCAACACCAAUCGCCUCCCGGGUGAUAACUCGUAUAGUGGUUAACGGCUAUGUAUGAUGAACUCUCAUGGACGUCAGCUGCCGCUCCGUUGGUGGGUUGAGGAAUGGCAGUCACCGAAACAUUCAUCGCCUCCCGCUUGAUACUUUGUCAGAUGAUAGUUUAGAUGCUAUCGUGAAUUAAAAAAAUAGUCAGCCGGUUGUAUCGCGGUGGAAAGACCGUCAGUUGAUCACAUGAAAAUGUAA